UUUCAUGUGAAAAGUUCUUAUGUCCUAUCCACUCUUAUAUUAUCUAUGGCAUGUCCACGUACAACCUGUAUCAGAAGGACCCAAAUUAGAAAAUCUUACUGACAACUUGAGGAAAUACUUUGAUUCUAAUCAUCCUAUUGUUGGUUCCUACAGUCCAAAACAAGUAGAAAAGUGUGCAGCUAAGGAAGUAUAUAUAUGCAAACUAAGCUUAAGGAAGAUUAACAGUAUUACCUCGCCAAAGUAGAAAAGGUUGCUGGCCUGAGUAUUCAUGUCUUGUAUACUGAUUAUGGUCACAGAACAUCGUGAUUACUCAAGAGUAUGAUAAUUUGCCACCGACUUUUGAAAAUGAUCAACCGUAUGCCAAAGAUUAUGGAUUUGCACUUGUGAAACGACCCAAGUUACUUGAAUAUCAAGAAGAUUCGAUUGCCGUUGUACGUGAUAAGUUCAUUAACAAGAGAAUCAGCAUCAAUGAAGAGCACACUUACGACAAUCUUCAUCACAUUACCGUGAAAGAUGCUGACAAAAAAGAAAAUCUCGUCAAGAAAGAUUCUUGUUAGUUGAAAGACGUUGUGAAAGAUUCCCAUUUGAAAAAUAUGAUGACUGAGUACAUUGAGGCUCAAGAAAAGGCUAAGAAGGAUCGGUGACAUAUGUGGGAGUAUGGUUACAUUACAGAAAAUGACGCUAAAAAAUUUGGUUGGCUAAAUAAAUGCGCUCAGUUUCACUUUUUCACACUUUGGAUUCAUAUAGAAUAAUGUUUUUCUAGACUUAAG